rnacentral:rRNA from 1 species
AACGUAGGGGGCCAGCGUUGCUCGGAAUUACUGGGCGUAAAGGGUCCGUAGGCGGUGUGGCAAGUCGGUAGUGAAAUCUCUGGGCUUAACUCUGAGGCUGCUUCCGAAACUGCUGUGCUAGAGUGCGAGAGAGGCGAGUGGAAUUGCGGGUGUAGCGGUGAAAUGCGUAGAUAUCCGCAGGAACAUCCGAGGCGAAAGCGGCUCGCUGGAUCGCAACUGACGCUGAGGGACGAAAGCUAGGGGAGCAAACAGG